rnacentral:rRNA from 1 species
AGAUUGAACGCUGGCGGCAUGCCUUACACAUGCAAGUCGAACGGUAACAGGUUAAGCUGACGAGUGGCGAACGGGUGAGUAAUAUAUCGGAACGUGCCCAGUAGUGGGGGAUAGCCCGGCGAAAGCCGGAUUAAUACCGCAUACGACCUACGGGUGAAAGCGGGGGAUCGCAAGACCUCGCGCUAUUGGAGCGGCCGAUAUCAGAUUAGCUUGUUGGUGGGGUAAAAGCCCACCAAGGCGACGAUCUGUAGCUGGUCUGAGAGGACGACCAGCCACACUGGGACUGAGACACGGCCCAGACUCCUACGGGAGGCAGCAGUGGGGAAUUUUGGACAAUGGACGAAAGUCUGAUCCAGCCAUGCCGCGUGCGGGAAGAAGGCCUUCGGGUUGUAAACCGCUUUGUCAGGGACGAAAGUCUCGGGUUAAUACCUUGGGAUGAUGACGGUACCUGAAGAAUAAGCACCGGCUAACUACGCGCCAGCAGCCGCGGU